rnacentral:ncRNA from 1 species
GAUGGCGAUGGGGCUCGCCGAAACCGCCUGCGGGCUGAUGGCUCCUACC